UUGUGAUAAAAAUAUCAUUAGAAUCGAACCAAAAAACAACUCAGUGAAAUUUUACGACUUAUCUCGCUUAUCGCCAUUUUCGGCAUUGUAAACAAAGCGGAUGUUUCGGAAAGCAUGAAAUGCGGAGAAACCUAGGGUUUUCGUCUACCUAAUCAAUUUAGCGGCUUCCUUGACUGAAAGAAGGCGAUAUUGAGCUGUGUCAUACUGAAUUUACUCUGCCAACAAUCACUCGAAUGAAGGAAUCACAAUCGCAUCACCAUGAUCACCCCACCAUGCCCACGACAACUCUCGUCUGAUCUGCCCAGGUAUUCCUGUUUUUGUGGAAGCAUGAAGUCGAGAUAAAAGAGAAUAUAGAACAUUUUAUAUCUGCUAAAUGGAGACUUGAAAAGAGGUACAUGUAUAGGGAUUGAGCUGACAGAUGCUCUUAAGGCCAGUUUAUAAUAUGGUGCACCACUACAGUCCUCUCACAUGGUCCUUGCUUAUGGAUAAUCCGGCUAAAUCCACUUACAUUAAGUGAGCCAGAACAUCAUAUCAGCAAUGAGUGGGUAAACCAUUUGAACCAGUAUUUUGUUCCAUAAAGAACAAUUACUAAAAAGGCAGACUAAACUACAGGUUUGAAAAUAAAUGGAAGAAAAUCACUGGACACAAUAUAAUUUCCUAUCCCAGUAUUUUGAAACUGUGGCAUUGUCAACAAACUCCGUGUUGGAUUAUGGAUAAAAGAUUUGAAUGAAAAACUAUUUGUGCAUUAUUCUAAAUGAAUUAUGGAUUAUAUUUCAGAAUUAAGACUUUUUCAGUUGAAGUUUGAUACAAAAAAAGACAUUCAUCCUCAGUCUAUUUGAAAUGUCAAUGGCAUAAAUUAUGUCUUUUGAAUGUUGAAGUUUUCCACAUACUUUAUGUGCUAAAUACAAUUUACAAUUUAAAA